UUGAGUUUACAUUUGCAUUUAUAAUAUUUUGUUUACGGUAACCUUUUGAUGUGUUUAUUGCUUUCUCUUUCGGACCAAUUGAGAUUGAUCUAUGGUUAUCACUUAGGCUGGACUGCCAGUGAUAAGGUUUUCAUCAGGUUACUCUACAAUAUAUAUCACCUAGGACUAGGGAUACCCUGUAUGAACUAGAGCAUUCUUGAUAUUAUACAGCUUAACUUCACCCUAAUUGGCUAUGGACAUAGGAAUUAGGGUAGAUUGAUUAAAGGUUUUAUCACCAAGGACUUGGGAGAAAAUACCCUUGAGAACUGGUAGUAAUCGAUAUUUGUUGAUGCAAUAGUAACUCAGAGUUGUU
rnacentral:lncRNA from 1 species